rnacentral:rRNA from 1 species
UAGUCCACGCCGUAAACGAUGAGCACUCGCUGUAGCUGGUAUUGACCCCGGCUGUAGCUUAGUUAACACGUUAAGUGCUCCGCCUGGGAAGUACGGUCGCAAGAUUAAAACUCAAAGGAAUUGACGGGGACCCGCACAAGCGGUGGAUUAUGUGGUUUAAUUCGAAGCAACGCGCAGAACCUUACCUGGCCUUGAUCCCAUGGACCGCUCUAGAGAUAGAGUUUUCUCGCAAGAGACUGUGGUGACAGGUGCUGCAUGGCUGUCGUCAGCUCGUGUCGUGAGAUGUUCGGUUAAGUCCGGCAACGAGCGCAACCCUUAUUCUUAGUUGCCAUCAUUAAGUUGGGCACUCUAGGGAGACUGCCGGUGUUAAACCGGAGGAAGGUGGGGAUGACGUCAAGUCCUCAUGGCCCUUACGGCCAGGGCUACACACGUAAUACAAUGGAUAGUACAAAGAGUUGCGGACCCGCGAGGGGAAGCCAAUCUCAAAAAACUAUCCUCAGUUCGGAUUGAAGU